rnacentral:lncRNA from 1 species
GGGAAAGUAAUAGCAAAGCUGUUAACUGUGGAGCUGAGAUGGAAGCCACGGUGAAGGCACUGAAGUUCAAGGAGAUGAAGUGAGUUACCUAAAAUCAACUCAUCGUCAGUUCCAGAGCCGGAACCAUGACCCAGACUUACUCCAACCCCCUUCCACUAUAAUGUGUAAAUUCAAGGGAAAAUUUCAUUUAAUUAAUUUAUUUAAUUAAGGCAGCUUCCUUCCCCCAACCCUAUAGAGCAACCCAAAACCCCACUUAAGCAGAAUUAACCAAACUAGUUCAAACCUAAUCCAGUUAAUGAAUCACCAGCUAAAAUUCUCCUCUACACUCCACACGUCAUGCAGGUCCACUGUGCCCACUGGAGUAGAAUAGUGACCAUGGUGAGCUCACUUCC